UACGAAGGUCCCAAGCGUUAUCCGGAUUUAUUGGGUUUAAAGGGUGCGUAGGCGGCUUAUUAAGUCAGUGGUGAAAGCUCCAUGCUUAACAUGGAAAUUGCCAUUGAUACUGAUGAGCUUGAGUAUAUUUGAAGUGGGCGGAAUGUGUCGUGUAGCGGUGAAAUGCUUAGAUAUGGCACAGAACACCGAUUGCGUAGGCAGCUCACUAAACUAUAACUGACGCUGAGGCACGAAAGCAUGGGGAUCAAACAGG
rnacentral:rRNA from 1 species